AAUUUGGCUAGGAUUGGAUUUGGACUUUUGUUCUUGAAUGCAUAUUAGGCCGUCGAAGGAGAGAGAAUCGGUUGAGCCCAUCUGCUCAAACAUUUCAGGAUUUCAUGUUCAUUGGCCUCUGAUCACGAUUGAGGUUACCAGUUCGAGUCCUACCAAUGCCACUAUGGGAUUUUCCAAUUUUUUCUCGAGGGUCUCGUGGGAUUGGUCCAGGGGAAUCGACAGUGAAUCGACAGUUUUACCCUUGCAAGCUGGGCCAGACAUGUUAACAAAAAGAACUUGUUUCUUGUUGGACAUACARUAGCAACUAAAUUGACGGUUUUAACCUUUCGUCAUGAAUAGAUGUACGAUAGAAACAGACGCACGAGCUAAACAAACUUGUUCCAAGUUGUGUAACUCUGUGAGUAGUACGAGGAGGACAAACAGGUAAACUUUUGAUGUUUGUUGUGGCUAGUAACAUCGAGCCAUUAGCCGCAAUGUCAGUCCUCCUUUGAUUGAGCUA